GCCGCGCACCGGGCCGGCGGAGGCCGGCGGGCGCUCCGACCGGCCGCGCUCCGGCCGGCCCCGCGACGGCGCCGGGGUCGCGCCCCGCUGCGUCGUGCC
rnacentral:tRNA from 1 species